rnacentral:rRNA from 1 species
AGAGUUUGAUCCUGGCUCAGGAUGAACGCUAGCGGCAGGCCUAAUACAUGCAAGUCGAACGGUGAUGUUUAUAUCAUAGUGGCGCACGGGUGCGUAACACGUAUGCAACCUACCUAUUAUUGGGGGAUAGCCUUUGGAAACGGAGAUUAAUACCGCAUAAUACGAUUAACUGGCAUCGGUUGAUUGUUAAAGCAUUUGCGAUAAUAGAUGGGCAUGCGUCCAAUUAGUUAGUUGGUGUGGUAAUGGCUCACCAAGACGAUGAUUGGUAGGGGAUCUGAGAGGAUAAUCCCCCACACUGGCACUGAGAUACGGGCCAGACUCCUACGGGAGGCAGCAGUAGGGAAUAUUGGGCAAUGGGCGGAAGCCUGACCCAGCCAUGCCGCGUGCAGGAAGACGGCGUUAUGCGUUGUAAACUGCUUUUUUAUAGGAAGAAGGAUCCCUUGCGAGGGAAGGUGACGGUACUAUAAGAAUAAGCACCGGCUAACUCCGUGCCAGCAGCCGCGGUAAUACGGAGGGUGCAAGCGUUGUCCGGAUUUAUUGGGUUUAAAGGGUGCGUAGGCGGUUUAUUAAGUCAGUGGUGAAAGACGGUCGCUCAACGAUUGCAGUGCCAUUGAUACUGGUAGACUUGAGUGAG